rnacentral:lncRNA from 1 species
UAAACUCUGCUGCCCUUCUCCUUGAUUCCAAUGGGUUUUAAGCCAUGCUUGCCCAGAAGUGACCUCCAGCCACAGAGGUCUCCAGAGUGAAUCAUGGACGUUAAACAUGGGCCAGAGAUGCUUAAACUGUUAGAAGUGUUACAGCUGCCCAAGAAAGUUGCUGGGAUCCAUGGUAAAGCCCUUCAAAGGACAUAACGUGGCAGCUGCAGCUGCAAAAAUGGCCACUCCAUCAGGAGAGCUUCUCUAGUUACCAUUAAUUUCCACACUGCCCUUGUGUGAACUGACACCUUCUGUGAACUUACUACAGAUGAAGUGAGGGAAGAUACUACACAGCAUUAUCAGUGGUCCCCAAUAGUCAAGGGCUGGAUGACAAACAAACGAGGGAAGGUUUAUGUCCCCAAAUAGCUUUAGUGUGCUCAUGCCAACUUAACUCGCAAGGAUUCAACCCACUUUGAUUUUGGUAACACCGUGACCUCACAGAGACCACCUCUGACUCAUAGAGGCCCCUUCUGCCCUCACUGACAGACAGAGGUCUCAGCUGACCUAACGGAGACGUCCCCUGACACUUUAGACACUCCUCUUGACCACACAGAGACAUCCCAUGCCCACACAGAGACUUGUCUGACCACCCAGAGACCUCCACCGACCUCAUAGUGAACCCCUCUUCCCUCAAAGUGAGGUCUCCUGAUUUCACAGAGAACUCCCUGAACACACAAAGAACUCCCAUGACCUCCAAGGAACCUCUAGUGACAUUAUAGAGACCCCCCUCUGACCUCACCAAGACCUGAUAUCACAGAGGCCAACCAUUACCUCAACAAGACCCCCUACAACACAGUGAGAACUCCACUAAUUUCAUGGAAACCUCAAGUGACUCUCACCAGAUCUAGGAUGUCAGGGAAAUGAAGAGAGGAUGGGAUCCACCUCAGCUCAACAGAUGCAAAUACAACAAAUGACACUUGGAGUGGAGCUCAGGGAUCUUCAUGCCCCUGCCUCAAGAGCUGCCACCCUGUUCAUGGGAAAAAGCCAUUUGAAUUUUGAACUGUGUUUUAAGAACCAUACAUAUUCCUCAAGUCAAGGACAGGAUCUCAAUGAACAACUAAGUGAGCAUUGAAGAAAACCUUGUAAGUCCUUGAGCAGAGCAGGAGGAACACCGUGACACCAAGCCGAAAGCAUUGAGGAACUCGUGGAUGUGCACGAGCAAACUCACAGUGUAGAUUCCCAGUGUUUUCAACAAAUGAGGAAUUAAAUGUUUCUAGUUAAUCCAGAAUAACCUGAAUUUAUGUUGCCUGGUGUUUUUUUCUACUGUGGCCUCAAACUUUGGGCUUACUGCUUAGAACAGAAUAAUUACUUAGGAACUGUUUAAUCUUAUUUUUUAGUUAGUAAAAAAAUCCAUUGAGUUUUCAGCACUGUUCUGGGUGCUGGCAAUAGAGUAGCAACAAAGGCAUAAAAUUGUGGUCAAGAAGACUAUAUUCUAAUGAAGGGGCAAAUUACAUGUCAUUAAAUCAAUAAACAGAAUUACCUUCUCUUAGU